rnacentral:rRNA from 1 species
GAGGCUUCGGCAAUGGGGGAAACCCUGACCGAGCGACGCCGCGUGCGGGAUGAAGGCCUUCGGGUCGUAAACCGCUGUCAGAAGGGAAGAAUCCUCCCGGGAUAACACCCCGUGAGUUGACGGUACCUUCAGCGGAACCCCCGCCCAACUCCGGUCCAGCAGCCGCGGUAAUACGGAGGGAGCGAACGUUGUUCGGAUUCACUGGGCGUAAAGGGUGUGUAGGCGGUCUGGCAAGUCUGGGGUGAAAUCCCUCGGCUCAACCGGGGAGGUGCCUUGGAGACUGCAGGACUUGAGGGCGUGAGAGGAGACUGGAAUUCCUAGUGUAGCGGUGAAAUGCAUAGAUAUUAGGAGGAACACCAGUGGCGAAGGCGAGUCUCUGGCACGCAUCUGACGCUGAAACACGAAAGCCAGGGGAGCGAACGGG